UACGUAGGGUGCGAGCGUUAAUCGGAAUUACUGGGCGUAAAGCGUGCGCAGGCGGUUCGUUAUGUCCGAUGUGAAAGCCCCGAGCUCAACUUGGGAAUGGCAUUGGAAACUGGCGGGCUGGAGUGUGGCAGAGGGGGGUGGAAUUCCACGUGUAGCAGUGAAAUGCGUAGAGAUGUGGAGGAAUACCGAUGGCGAAGGCAGCCCCCUGGGAUAACACUGACGCUCAUGCACGAAAGCGUGGGGAGCAAACAGG
rnacentral:rRNA from 1 species